rnacentral:rRNA from 1 species
CCUACGGGUGGCAGCAGUGAGGAAUAUUGGUCAAUGGACGAGAGUCUGAACCAGCCAAGUAGCGUGAAGGAUGACUGCCCUAUGGGUUGUAAACUUCUUUUAUAAAGGAAUAAAACGAGGCACGUGUGCCUUUUUGCAUGUACUUUAUGAAUAAGGAUCGGCUAACUCCGUACCAGCAGCCGCGGUAAUACGGAGGAUCCGAGCGUUAUCCGGAUUUAUUGGGUUUAAAGGGAGCGUAGAUGGGUUGUUAAGUCAGUUGUGAAAGUUUGCGGCUCAACCGUAAAAUUGCAAUUGAUACUGGCAGUCGUGAGUACAGUUGAGGUAGGCGGAAUGCGUGGUGUAGCGGUGAAAUGCUUAGAUAUCACGAAGAACCCCGAUUGCGAAGGCAGCUUACUAAACUGUGACUGACAUUGAUGCUCGAAAGUGUGGGUAUCAAACAGGAUUAGAUACCCCUGUAGUC